AGCCACCCAACAGAAAGUCCUUUGUGUAUUCUGCGAGAAUAGUAAAAGAUUGGAUUUUUACCCGUGAUAUUGCGUGUUUCCUUUGUUUCGUAAGUUUGCAAUAAUCCUAAGUAUCGCACCGUGAGAGGAAAAUGUGCUGACGUAACUUGAUUCUCAGAUUGCUGCAUUAUAGUGUCAAUUUCGAAAAAUGUAACCCUGUAACACUAGGCAUAUGCACAUAACUUUUUGGUGCUUUUGUCAUCGUGAACGUAUUUAUAUUGUACAAAUAAUUAUUAGGG
rnacentral:lncRNA from 1 species